rnacentral:misc_RNA from 1 species
CUGUGGCAUAUUUCUAAUUAUGUGGAAAUAGUUGGCCAGUUGUGCCUUAAAAGUGCACACUACUUUUUAUAGGGUUUGGUUGGCUUUCUGCUGUUUGUCUAAAGCUGAAAAUGUGGAUACUAGUAUGGAAGCAUUUAUAGGGAUUUCAUGGUGUUAGGAAGCCAUUUAUGUAUGGUGAGAGAGGCACUCCAAUAAAACACAUUUAAAUCUACUAUUUUUUAAGUAGACAUUACAAUAUGUGAAAAUCUAUACAGCUGUAAUUGGUGAUCUUUGGAAACCAGUUAUUUAAGAGGUAGGCUGAACUUUCAAACUGCCUCUUCACUGUGCUCUUCUUUGUAAAGGAUGUUGCCAGGAAGAUAUGGUAAUGGAGGUAGUUGAUAAAGCAAACAAUGUACUUAUGUUGUUACAUUGAGGUUUGCUUAAUAGACAUUGAUAUUAUGGACAUUGUAACCAUUUGUCAAUUUUAUCCGCACAGGAUAUCUUACCAUGGUUUUAAAUAACGGCGUAAUGGUUGUUAGUUAAAGUUUUUUUUCUUUGUUUUUGCCUUACCGUUACCAUUACCAUCGUUAUUUAACGAAUUUUUAAAUUUGUAACUUUAAAAGCUGUAAUGGCCAUUAUUUAAAGGUAAUGGUUGUAACAGCCUUUAUUUUUCCAGUUAAGAAUUCUUGACUUUUUUUACCUCUUUCAUGUGAAAUGCAGUCGAGGGAACUUUUUUUUUGGGCAAAAACUAUCUUGACUCGUUCAUUUUAGCGCCUUUUCAUUUUUCUCUCUAGGCAACUAAGCCAUUUUCUCGCAACUUUCUCUCAAUUUUCUCUUCAAUCAACUCAAGUGAAACCAUUCAUUUCUCUACAAAUUUUUGAGCUCAAGAGCAUGGAUCAUCAAAUGGAUAAGGUAGUUUUGAAGUAAAGGGGAUUGAAGGGUGAGAGUUUUUUUUUUUUUUUUUUUU